rnacentral:tRNA from 1 species
GGGGUUGUGGCUCAGUGUUAGAGCACUAAUCUAGCAUAUGAGAUGUCCUGGGUUCAAUCCUCAGCACCA